AUCCUGGCUCAGGAUGAACGCUAGCUACAGGCUUAACACAUGCAAGUCGAGGGGCAGCAUGGUCUUAGCUUGCUAAGACUGAUGGCGACCGGCGCACGGGUGAGUAACGCGUAUCCAACCUGGCCCUUAGUAGGGAACAGCCCGGCGAAAGUCGGAUUAAUGCCCUAUGUUUUCCAAUGAUGGCAUCUGACUUGGAACAAAGAUUCAUCGCUAAGGGAUGGGGAUGCGUCUGAUUAGCUUGUCGGCGGGGUAACGGCCCACCGAGGCGACGAUCAGUAGGGGUUCUGAGAGGAAGGUCCCCCACAUUGGUACUGAGACACGGACCAAACUCCUACGGGAGGCAGCAGUGAGGAAUAUUGGUCAAUGGGCGCGAGCCUGAACCAGCCAAGUAGCGUGCAAGGAAGACUGCCCUAUGGGUUGUAAACUGCUUUUAUGCGGGAAUAAAGUCAGGUACGCGUACCUGUUUGUAUGUACCGCAUGAAUAAGGACCGGCUAAUUCCGUGCCAGCCGCAGC
rnacentral:rRNA from 1 species